UGCCAGCAGCCGCGGUAAUACGGAGGGUGCGAGCGUUAAUCGGAAUUACUGGGCGUAAAGCGCAUGCAGGUGGUUUGUUAAGUCAGAUGUGAAAGCCCGGGGCUCAACCUCGGAAUUGCAUUUGAAACUGGCAAACUAGAGUACUGUAGAGGGGGGUAGAAUUUCAGGUGUAGCGGUGAAAUGCGUAGAGAUCUGAAGGAAUACCGGUGGCGAAGGCGGCCCCCUGGACAGAUACUGACACUCAGAUGCGAAAGCGUGGGGAGCAAACAGGAUUAGAUACCCUGGUAGUCCACGCCGUAAACGAUGUCUACUUGGAGGUUGUGGCCUUGAGCCGUGGCUUUCGGAGCUAACGCGUUAAGUAGACCGCCUGGGGAGUACGGUCGCAAGAUUAAAACUCAAAUGAAUUGACGGGGGCCCGCACAAGCGGUGGAGCAUGUGGUUUAAUUCGAUGCAACGCGAAGAACCUUACCUACUCUUGACAUCUACAGAAGCCAGCGGAGACGCAGGUGUGCCUUCGGGAACUGUAAGACAGGUGCUGCAUGGCUGUCGUCAGCUCGUGUUGUGAAAUGUUGGGUUAAGUCCCGCAACGAGCGCAACCCUUAUCCUUGUUUGCCAGCACUUCGGGUGGGAACUCCAGGGAGACUGCCGGUGAUAAACCGGAGGAAGGUGGGGACGACGUCAAGUCAUCAUGGCCCUUACGAGUAGGGCUACACACGUGCUACAAUGGCGCAUACAGAGGGCGGCCAACUUGCGAAAGUGAGCGAAUCCCAAAAAGUGCGUCGUAGUCCGGAUUGGAGUCUGCAACUCGACUCCAUGAAGUCGGAAUCGCUAGUAAUCGUGGAUCAGAAUGCCACGGUGAAUACGUUCCCGGGCCUUGUACACACCGCCCGUCACACCAUGGGAGUGGGCUGCAAAAGAAGUGGGUAGUUUAACCUUCGGGAGGACGCUCACCACUUUGUGGUUCAUGACUGGGGUGAAGUCGUAACAAGGUAACCG
rnacentral:rRNA from 1 species